AGAAUGAACGCUGGCGGCGUGCCUUACACAUGCAAGUCGCGCGAGGCGGCCCGCAAGGGUUAGUCGAGCGGCGAACGGGUGAGUAACACGUGGAUAACCUGCCCUGAGGUGGGGAAUAACCCGGGGAAACCCGGGCUAAUACCGCAUAUGACCGAGAGGUCAAAGGGGGCUCGCAAGGGCUCUCGCCACAGGAGGGGUCCGCGUCCGAUUAGCUAGUUGGCAGGGUAAUGGCCUACCAAGGCGACGAUCGGUAGCCGGCCUGAGACGGGGUGAGUCGGACCGACACUGGAACUGAGACACGGUCCAGACUCCUACGGGAGCAGCAGUGGGAAUUUGCGCAAUGGGCGAAAGCCUGACGCAGCAACGCCGCGUGGAGGAUGAAGGUCCUUGGAUCGUAAACUCCUAGUCAGCAGGAAAAGCGAGUUGACCUAAUACGUCGAUGAGUUGAUGAUACCUGCAGAGGAGUCCGCUAACUCGUGU
rnacentral:rRNA from 1 species